ACUAGGGUGCAGUUUUGAUCUGCUCAAAUUCUGUGAUGCUGUUGUCACCUCUCAGCCAUGGGAUGCUGCUAAUUAUGACCACAAGUCUGUGAGUUCUUUCCUAGCAGUACUGAUAUAACUCUGUUGUGCUUUUGAUUCCAAAAGGCAUCCUCAUUCACCUUGGUCUGCCUAUUGAUAGCCAAAGUAUCUUGAUAUGCUUGCCUUAUGCAGUUUUACCUUUGGUAUAAGAUACUGAGAAUGUUUUUACAUUUUCCUAGACAGAUAAUAUUUCCUCAGCUCUAGGCAUUGGCAUUGUGAGCCCUGUUAGUGAUAUAGUUAGAGGGUAUAGCUCUAUGUAAAUAUUCAACUUAAGUGAGUUAUCGAUGUCUACCAGGCUGUUUAGCAGUCUAACAGAUGCUGUGACUGACAGUGAUGACUUGUUUUUCACUUGCUUUCUUGCUCUUUAUUAUGCAUCCUUCUAAGAAAACAAGUGCUUGGUGAAGCUAGAUUUGUGUGCCAGUGUAUGUGUGGCACAUGUGCAAGGCACAGCUGGUUGGGAAAAACGUUAAUUGCUGCCUGUGCUCCUGAAGACAUGCAACAAAUACAUGAGUAGUAGGUGCUAUAGUAGAGGUUGAGGGGGUGAGUCUCAUGCUACACAUAUGUUUUUAUAUGACUGUGUCAUGUUUUUUCCACACUGUCCGCAACUCUUCCUUUGUAUUUGGUUUAUGUUUUCUUAGCUAGCAGUGUGGGUGCUGUGCAUAGUCACAACCAAGUAACUCUUUUCAGAAUUGAUCAUUGCAUGCAACAUGCACAUGCUGAUCUGUUGUUUCCUGAGAUUCAACUUCUGCUGACAAGAAACUUUCAAAUACGACUUUUCAGGGCUCAGAAAUACUUUUUGAUUGUUUCUGGCUGUUUGCUUUGAGCUUCCAAGUCAUUUGCUGACAUUAUCAGGUAGAGCAUGGAGCUACUUUUGCUCUGUUACAACUCACACUAUCUACUCUUUUAUUUUUUCAUACUUGUAUUCAGCCCUGAGCAAAACUGUUCUCUCUCUUGGUAUCUAAUCAGCUCCCAUGUCCACUUUCAUAAUUAUCAGCCUAGGGACUAGAAUUUGGUUUGUGUUAUACUCUCAUUAUUAUUGUUUUCUUAAUCCAUACCUUGGGGAAGAAUGACUUGAGCUGAAAUCCCAUAUUUGUAGGAGCCAACUUACUUGCAAUAUCAUGUGCUGUGCAAUUACCAUGUGUUGUGCAAAGGCAGCCAAGACAGUGCAACAUUUAAACUUUUUUUCCUCAUCCAGAUAGACUGGAUGAGGAAACCUCUUUCAGUAGGUACCUCUUGAAAGUAAAAUAAUGCGAAUGUCUGAAUAUUGACUCUGUAUCUGUAUCAAUAGUUUCCAGCAUGUAGCUCAUGAAUGACAACAAACAUGAAUCCUUCCUGGAAGAACUUAGUGUAUUUUUCAAUCCUGGGACACAGACUGGAGAACACAAAGACAAGGAUUUUAGAAAUGUGAACGUGCAGCAUGGGGCCAGAGCAGUCUGGUCAUAUUGGGUGACAGUAUAGUGUACCAGUCGAGAUUUGUUGGAAGAAUAAGAGGGAGGGAGGAUAUGCAGAUUAGAGGUUAGGGCCCUCACCUGUGAUAGUUAAAUCCCUGUCUCAUUUUAGGUUCACCAGAGAACUAAAAACAGUCCCUGAAUCUAAGACUCCCUCAUGAUUUCGCUCAGAGUUGUGCUGUCUCCCCUGCCCUGUGAAUUCAGAACUGUUAUCUUGGUAUCAUGAGGAAGGGCAGAGCUUCCACCUAGCCAGACUGGCCUCUGGUCUUGUGCUUAAAGCACUGGGAAAUGGGAAUUCUGUGUUUAAACACCUUGGAGAUGAAGCAAGAAUUGAACCCCAUUUUCCUUUUUCUCAAAUAAGUGCUGUAAUUCCCCAACAGUGGUUCUCCCAAGCCUGUUUUUACUGCUCUGUUAUUUUCGCCAAUAAAUAGCAGCUGCAAAUACACAUUGGGGAGCCCAGUCUCAUUCGUGCAACAUGGGCAUGUUCUGAGAUGUUGUACAAGGCAGGAAAAUGACUUGUUGCUGGAUCCCCAGCUGCUCAGACAGGGUCUUGUCUGGGCAAAUACUGAGGUAGAAUUCUGAUGUGCGGGUGAUGGCUGAGUAGGGUCUUCUCUAAAUUUCAGUUUUGGGUUCACUGACUUCCCUGUACUUUGCGCUAUUUCCUUUAAAAGCAAUAUAAACAAUGUCUUUAGUUUAGGUAUUGUCAUAUUUUACAAAAUGAAAGGUAGAUUUUCAACUUCAUAGGGAAUAACAUUCGCUGUGGGACAGCUUCUGAUGAAAAGAGUGGUAAUGUGUGUAUUGAUUGCCCUGUCAACCAUUUCUACAUUAUGUUCAGCUAAUUCUAACAACACCUGUGAAAAUCCAAGUGGAAAAGACUUGGACCUGUCUGUACCCUGCCAGCAUGACUGAUGUGUGUGGCACAUGGGAAGCAGAAGCCUGGAAUUGAUAUAGCUUUCCUGUUAAAGAGCUCAAGAGUUUCUUCUUUUUCCAAAACUCAGGCCUGCAGGGAGAGUAGCAGUGACCAUUGCAAAGCUGCCUCUUUAGGGUAAUGGCAGGCUCUGGAAUAAACAUUUUCCAGAUAGGUGUAUCUUUUGUAAGUGUAUGAAGAGCUGACAACUCAUUUUUCUUUCUUUUUGACAGGGCUGCCUUCCCCACCCCAUCCCCGAAAUAUCCAUUCUUUCUCAGAAUUCUUGGAUGUAAAUCCGUAGUGUUUGAAGGGAGUGUUCAGAGAUGCGAAUGUGCUGCCUAGGGAAGAUUGGGCUGAUCUGACAAGUGGUGUAAAGCUUGUCCCAAGAAUCGGUUUAUGUAUGUCCCAGAAUACAUCCAUGUAUAUAUGGCCUGGAGCUGGAGGAGCCCACGCAGCCCUGGUGGAUUGCGCAUUGCAGGCCUCCUAGGGACAGUAACGGUUAAGUAUUCUUCUUGCAGUGGAAAGAAUUGUUUCAUUGACUGUUGAGUUUGAUAAGGGAGUACUCAUUGCUGCAGCACAGCUCCAGCCUAGGACUAUUGACAUGGAGCUUUAUGUAUGGAGCGAGAGGGAGAAGAGGACUGGGAGGCAAUUUUCAUUUGAAAGCACUCAAAUGUAGUAUGUUUUAGAUUUGUUCCCUAGCAGAGGUAAACUCUCCAAAUCAGAAAAGACCUAAAGAGUUUUCAGUUUAAACUGGAUUUUCAGAAACCAGAGACAGUUGAAAGCUAUUGCUAUUAGCACAGCAAAGCAAUGUCAGAAGAGGGAAAUGAUAGAAGAAUGGCUCGAUCAAUAGGAGACUGUGAAAGGAGAUGGCUCAAUUUUUAUUGUUUUUUUUUCUUGGUAUUCUAGCUACUGUGUUCAUAUUGUGAAAUUAAGAUACAUGCAGCUCCUAUUUAUAAUGACUUAGGGACGGUUUUAUGCUUUGGAUUUACUUGAAUCACAGAUUUAACCAGGUUAAAUAAAAAGAAAAAGGGGAAAAUUGCUUUAGCUGAUUUUAAUCCACUUUGAAUUGGUUAUGAGACUCUGUGCUUCUUGCACUGUGUCAUACAAUGAUCGCAUCUGUGGCUUGAGAUGGAUCUGCUUACACCUUUCCCUUGUAGUAAGUGCCCUAAAAGGCUUUUAAAUACAGAAAGCCAGGAUUUAUUUGAAUUGUGAAAAAACCCAAAAUGCAUCUUUUAAAACAGGGUAAGCUCAACAGCUAGGGAAGACAGAGGAGAAGCAAAGAGGUUUGUGAACAACUCUGCCAUUGCCUUCUCCAUUUUUAGUGAGUCCUGGCUUCUAGCCAGCUCAGUGACUUUCUGAGUGGCAGUAAAUCCUGCAGCUUUCCCUCUGGUCCAUGGGAAGUCCCUUCUCUCCCCCUGAGGCCUGUUUGUCUGCUCCCUCUCCUCUCUGCAGCCUUGUCUUCCUGAGCUGCAGGCCUUCAGCUCCGUGCUGUGCUGCUCUUGCUUGAUGCAGCCUCGGGAACCUUUUUUCCACUGGGCUUGCUCAGAAGACCCUCAGGAGACGAGCUGUCUCUCCUCUCACACACACAUUUAAGAAUGAACCACAAACUCCGAACAAAUGAGUAAUGUAGAUGGCAUUCACUGCAGACAUUGUUGCUGAAAAGAGACUCGUGAGCAUAAUGUGAACACUUUUUCAUUUGUGUAAGGUUUCAGGCUAUCCUGUUCAGUUUUGCCACGGGUUUUCAAAGUUGAUGUUUUUUUUCCCUUUGUUGUUCUCCAGCAAUACUUACAAAAGGAUACUGGAAACUACGCCAUACGUGAAGAGAGUUGAAAAUUAUUACUGUCUGACAAAAAUGAGAGCUUGGUGUUUUUCCAGCACAGCUCUUCAGCCCUUCCCAAGUUAGAAGUUAUUCAGCCCCAUUAGAAAUGCAACCUUUCCUGAUGUAUAAUAAAGGAGAGGUUUUAUAUCAGGGCUCAAACAAAACCUGCCUGACUUACCACAGUUUAAUGAGGUUCCAUGCCUCAGCUAAGCUGCAGUUAACCAACCGUGAACUGCAUGUGCACUCUUUGAAUGUUUCAAGCAUGAAGAAACAUCUUAAAUCCCAGUGAAAAAGGUGCAAGCCCAGGUAUGUCACAUCCGUGAUGGACUAAGCGCAGGUAAGUGGUGGGUUACUGUGACUCAGCCGACAGCACAUCUUGCUGUGCUGCCAUAACUCCAGAUGUGUGCUGGGACCCUUGGUAAUAAUUGCCCAAAUGCUCUUUAAUAGAGGAAGCUGAAAAGUUGAACAUAAAGGAUUUUUUUUCCCAGGCGGAAGAGGUCCAGGACAGUUUAAUAUCCCAACUCCUGUGCGAAGUUACACAAGUUAUUUGAUAACCAUAUGUGGUUAAGACCUCAGAUUUGUGUACCAUGUGAAAGAUGAAACUUCCAGUAAUAUACUUUCCCCCCUACCACUAGGUCUGAGCAUUAAAAACAACAAUCAGAGCAAAAAAUGUACUGCUGCCACCACUCCUCACAGCACCAACAUUUUUCUUGGCUAUCCUUCUCCUGAAUAAUGCUCAUCUCCAAUCCCGUUUAUUUUGAGUACUUUAAAGCCACAAGGCGACAUAAGCAAAUGCCAAAUGUACGAAUAUUAAGUCCCAUACAAACUACUUUUACCAAAUAGGGUCAUUCUUUUUCCUCAGAAAGCUUCCCUCUCUUCUGUCUUCAGAUUCAUAGUAGAUAAUCAAACAGUCCAACAGCCAAAAAGUCUUGAAGAGUGAGGUGGACAGUAAGAAAGCAAUUAGAGCAGUAUGAAACAAUUUUAUCGUCUGAAAAGAAUCCUGGAUUCCUUCUGUUACCUGUUGAGCAGAUCCAGCAAAGCAGCAGCAAACUAUCAUAGCAUCCUUCUGCUGGAGAGUUCACCAGGGCAUCACACACCAGAGACUAGAUACCUCUGAGAGUCUGAGACAUUUCCUUGAGGCUGUCAAACAUAUCAAAGGACCUGUGGGAGACCUACCCUCUUGGAACGUAGCUGGAAGCCAGACCAACUGCCUGUGCUUGGGUUUGACCUACCAAAAUGAAGCUCCGAAUGUGAUGUACCAGAGGGGAGAAUAUGCAAAGGAAGAAAGAGUGAAUUACAUGAAGAUGUCAUUGUUAGAGCUGCCCGAAACAUCUGUGAUGUUCAAGAUCAUAUGUGUUUGCCAGACUGUGUUAGGAUGGGGUCUGACUCAAUACCGUCUGACAGUAUAAGGUGGAUAAAGUAGAAGUUCAAAAAUACUACUUCCAGCUGUAGGAACUAUCACUGUCAUCUGUGCUGACGAGCAGGGCGAUGUGGUGGUGAGCGCCUUGAAGAGCUCUGUGUCGAGCUGACAGUUCUAACUGAACCAGUGACCGGCUGAACUGGAUGAUUGCUUCCUUCUUUUUUCUGGUGCUCAUCCUACUGAUCUCUGCACAACUGCUACUCCAGCAUCUGUGUGGAUCUGGUAUUCCUCCAUUGAUCCUGAAUCAAACUAUUUCAGUUUUUUACCACCUGCAGCUGAGAGUGACUAUGGUUCACCAUACUGAUGGGCUUUCAGGUCAGUUCUGCAUCAAAACUGAGUAAUUGGUUCAGGCAGACCAGACAUUCGCCUUUCCAUCUAGAACUGCCAAAGAGACCCUCCCCGUCUGAAGGACACAGCUUCAGUCUUUGAGCUCGCAACAGCCCUGACUUGGCCCAUUUGCUGAAGACAACAUGGAGACGAUUCUCCCUCUUGGGACACCAACACUGACAGGCAAAUGCCUGGCAGAGGCGAAUGACGAGAGAGAAAUAUUGCAUGUCACCCCUGACGCGGAUGCUAGCAGGAGGAAGCUCGGAGGGGCCAAGAAGAGGAAUGAAAGAAAUUGAAUUUGGGUCCUGCAACACCAGCACCAACUAGGAUUCAGCUCUUCUGCACUGUCCGAGCAAAAAGAUAACUGAUUGACUGAAAGAUAUUGACUUUGAUAUUGACUUUGAUAUUGACUGAAAAGAAUUCUCACAUCCAACAUGACUGCAAGACUUCCUGUUUUUCCUUCACGAGCUUUCUUCUUCAAGUUGAAGUCGAAAGGAGAAGUAUUUGCCAGCAGGACGGAUCCUUUCCUUUGCAAAAUGUUCUUUCAUUCUGGAUUCUGCACGGCAGGAGAUCACACUGAUGGGAAACAUGCCAAAAUUUUCCAGAAUCUCAAAGCCCAAGUGGAGUAAAGAGAUAUUACAUUUCCAUGAUUCAGAAAGCAAGUAUUUUCAUGGAAUAAGGAUCAAUCUGUUUCAAUCACAGUGGAUCACCCAGCUGCAGAGGACCCCCCACACUUGCUUUGUAAGGUAACUUUGAAGCACAGAGAGACGUAGCAUCUACAGGCCAGAGUGCCAUUUCCCUGCUCCUACAACCGAGACAGUGGAAGUGCUGAUGCCGGGGUGGUUUCGCUUGUCUGCUUCCUAUUUCCCAGCACUACCAGCUAGCCCACCCAGCAGGGCAGGCGAAAUCUAGUCAGGCUUCCAGUCGCUUCAGCCACUUGCUUGUUCUCCCUUUUUAAAAAAUUUUUCGUUUUUCUCUGUUUAUGAAAUUUACACUUGCUGCUGUGGUCUCACCUGGUCUCGCUGUCUAUCUAGGCAGGUUCAGACUUGAGAACCAGCCGAGAAAAACCCAAGCUCUGGACAAAAAGGUGUUGCUAAUGCUGUAGGUGGCACUCAUCUGACUCGGCCAGAGACCAAGGGCCAGCCCCUGUCAGCGACCACAGUGCAGUUGGAGGUGCUGUCUUUCUGCAGAGACAUGAAACAGAGGUUCAGGCAAAUUGCCAUAUUAAAAAUGUCACAGUACUUUCUCUGCAACAGUAGGACCGUUAGCUCCCAUGAUCAAGCCAAAUUUUAAUUUGAGUAAUUUACAUGCUACUUACCUAGAAUUCUCCCUAUGGCUUCAACUGGAUAAGGCAAUUUAUGUUCCUGGCCACUGCCAUGUUCUACGAUGCUGCUCUGUGGUGUUACACAGCUGUUGCAUUUCACCUCGAGGUGGCUGUACAGCAGCUGCUGACAAAGUGAUUCUACAUUUAUAACGUGUGUAAGUGUGUUGGUAAGUUUGUAAACCAUGUUAAGCUCUUUCUGGAUUAAAAGCAAGACAUGCGUGCAAAUGUAUCACAAUUACCAUUUUGCACAUCUCCUUCUAAAUAUGCAUUUGUAGAACAAUUAGCCUUAAUGGAAGCUGCAAACAUGGAUCCAGAAAAGACUCUUAAUUCUUUAAAGACAUAAUAGCUGCAUCAGUUAAAGAUAUGUUAAUAGCAAAUGGUUUUAUUCAUUUGAUCUUAUCAAAGAAAAGCUUCAACUACAUUGUUCAUACAGCAACUUCAAAGACUUCUUCAUUCAUUCAUGUAGUACCGACUCACCCUCACUAAAGAUGAACUGUGAGUAAACACUAAAAGAGAGAAAAUAAGAUAAGGCGCAUGGGAGUUUUUACAAAGAGAGAACACAUUUCCCUCUUCUCACUGCCCUACAUGGGUUUAAGUGUCUGACCGUAAGCCUCCAAUUAAGUUAUUGUUGAAGUGCCUUUGAAGCACUAUGCUAGCUCUUAUACUCCAAGGAGUCACAGGAAAGGAUGUUGUCGUCGUUUUUAUGCAGUUCACCAGUUCUUAAUGGACUUCAUAUGGUCUCUGCUUUUCCAAAGCAGCCUUCCUUAUCACAGCUACAGCAUGGUGCUCUCAUCUUUUGUGCAAAUUUUUAAUAAAAGAUUUAUCAUUUCUCCCUCUCCAAACCUAUACACACAUAAAUCUCUCACUCCUGCAAAGGAAUGUGAAGCAGCAUCCUUAGUUAAUUCAAGCAGCAAAAGUAUAAGCAUAAGAAUUAGCUUCAGAUCAAGUGCAUUAAUGCCUGUCCUGGUGUAUUGGGUCAGGACCAAACAGAAUCCAAGACUUUUACUAGGGGAAGUGGGAACAUCUUCAAGGACUUCAUGGAAAUAUCAGUAGCUGACUGCAAUAUGGCCAUAAUAAUGCUUACUGGUGAAGACUAUUCAUACUGACUCUGUGAGGCAGUAAGAGAAAGUGUCAGUAGCAGAGCUUGCACCUGACCAUUGGAGUACCUGAUUUUUGAUGAUCCCAGAGGAGCACAGAGGCUGAAAGUAGAACAGAGAUGUUAAGCAAUAUAGUCUGGUCUCUUGGUAGUGUAAUUUGUUCUCUACAGUCUUUUUUUUAUGUUCUGUACAUGACUUAAGGGAUGAAUUAACUACUAACUUUGACUCCAGUGUGACUUGAAAAAAAAAGUCAUGAAUAGUCCCUGAUGAUUUCAGAGUAUUUUAUUGUUCAUCUAGUCCUGUUGUGAAAGUGACAAAGCGACAGUCUUUCCUGCAGCUGUGUGUGUGACAUGAGCCAAUGACUCUCUUGGCUUCUUGCUGCUAGGCUUAAAAAAAAGAGAAAAAUAAUGGCUUUAUUUUCUUGUUAUCAGGCUCUUCCUCUAGAAGUAGCUACUCACUUUGUUUGAGCCAGAUCAGCUUCCGCAAUUCAAAAUCUGAAACCUUCAUCUGAACCUGAUGCUACCGCUGGGAAGGUUUCACACCUGUGCAUGCCGAUGGCAUUGUGCACAGAAGGAAGUAAAGCUUGUUUGACCAAGCACUGGUCCGACUUGGGGGUGAAUAUGCUUAGGAAGAAAAUGAGAGUGUUAUGCCCAAGUAACUCAUAUACAAGGAACAAAUGUAUUAAAACAAGGAUUCUUUUCUUGGGUGUUUUUUGUUGCUGUUUCACAAAGCAGAGUGUCUGGUAGUUGGAGGUUGUAGCCAACACAAUGUUGUCAUAAUAGUUUUACAUACCAUUUAAAUAUAA